rnacentral:hammerhead_ribozyme from 1 species
ACCAGAUGACGAGUCCCAAACAGGACGAAAUGUGCAUCCUGGAU